rnacentral:rRNA from 1 species
AUGAACGCUGGCGGCGUGCCUAAUACAUGCAAGUCGAGCGAACAGACGAGGAGCUUGCUCCUCUGACGUUAGCGGCGGACGGGUGAGUAACACGUGGAUAACCUACCUAUAAGACUGGGAUAACUUCGGUAAACCGGAGCUAAUACCGGAUAAUAUAUUGAACCGCAUGGUUCAAUAGUGAAAGACGGUUUUGCUGUCACUUAUAGAUGGAUCCGCGCCGCAUUAGCUAGUUGGUAAGGUAACGGCUUACCAAGGCAACGAUGCGUAGCCGACCUGAGAGGGUGAUCGGCCACACUGGAACUGAGACACGGUCCAGACUCCUACGGGAGGCAGCAGUAGGGAAUCUUCCGCAAUGGGCGAAAGCCUGACGGAGCAACGCCGCGUGAGUGAUGAAGGUCUUCGGAUCGUAAAACUCUGUUAUUAGGGAAGAACAAAUGUGUAAGUAACUAUGCACGUCUUGACGGUACCUAAUCAGAAAGCCACGGCUAACUACGUG